UGAUUGACGAUGGAUCACCAGUGAGUGGCGGACGGGUGAGUAACACGUAGGUAACCUGCCCCGUGAGCGGGGGAUAACAUUUGGAAACAGAUGCUAAUACCGCAUAACAACAAAAGCCACAUGGCUUUUGUUUGAAAGAUGGCUUUGGCUAUCACUCUGGGAUGGACCUGCGGUGCAUUAGCUAGUUGGUAAGGUAACGGCUUACCAAGGCGAUGAUGCAUAGCCGAGUUGAGAGACUGAUCGGCCACAAUGGAACUGAGACACGGUCCAUACUCCUACGGGAGGCAGCAGUAGGGAAUCUUCCACAAUGGGCGCAAGCCUGAUGGAGCAACACCGCGUGAGUGAAGAAGGGUUUCGGCUCGUAAAGCUCUGUUGUUGGAGAAGAACGUGCGUGAGAGUAACUGUUCACGCAGUGACGGUAUCCAACCAGAAAGUCACGGCUAACUACGUGCCAGCAGCCGCGGUAAUACGUAGGUGGCAAGCGUUAUCCGGAUUUAUUGGGCGUAAAGCGAGCGCAGGCGGUUGCUUAGGUCUGAUGUGAAAGCCUUCGGCUUAACCGAAGAAGUGCAUCGGAAACCGGGCGACUUGAGUGCAGAAGAGGACAGUGGAACUCCAUGUGUAGCGGUGGAAUGCGUAGAUAUAUGGAAGAACACCAGUGGCGAAGGCGGCUGUCUGGUCUGCAACUGACGCUGAGGCUCGAAAGCAUGG
rnacentral:rRNA from 1 species